rnacentral:rRNA from 1 species
ACGGGAGGCAGCAGUGGGGGAUAUUGCACAAUGGGGGAAACCCUGAUGCAGCGACGCCGCGUGAGUGAUGAAGUAUUUCGGUAUGUAAAGCUCUAUCAGCAGGGAAGAAAAUGACGGUACCUGACUAAGGAGCUCCGGCUAAAUACGUGCCAGCAGCCGCGGUAAUACGUAUGGAGCAAGCGUUAUCCGGAUUUACUGGGUGUAAAGGGAGCGUAGACGGUGACGCAAGUCUGAAGUGAAAGGUGUGGGCUCAACCCGCAAACUGCUUUGGAAACUGUGUGACUAGAGUGUCGGAGAGGUAAGUGGAAUUCCUAGUGUAGCGGUGAAAUGCGUAGAUAUUAGGAGGAACACCAGUGGCGAAGGCGGCUUACUGGACGAUAACUGACGUUGAGGCUCGAAAGCGUGGGGAGCAAACAGGAUUAGAUACCCUGGUA